GGUGGAAAAGGAAAAUUUGCUUCUGUUCAGGGGUUAAAUCUAAUUUGUAAAGGUCUAAAGAAGAAAGUAACCUUUGUGCUACAAAACUCAGAUGAGAGUUUGAAAGCUGGGGAUUAAAGAGUUACAGGAAACAGAAGUCAAAGUUUUAAAACUAUGUGGAGGUCUAAGCGGAGCUCCAGUUGUAAACAAAACACCUAGAAUCAUUUUAAGAGUAGGACGAAGGUGGGAAGAGGGAACACAUUGAUCAAGGUCUCAAAUAUCAGGGUAGACAGUUUGCUUUAUAGUUGUCAGAGACUAUUCAUUUGAAACACCAAAUUGGUAAAUGUUAAAAGAACUAAUAAUGUUCUUUUAUUUCAGAAUCAAAUAAAUUCGGCGUUGAAAAUAGAUUUCAGAUUCAAAUAAAUUCGGCGUUGAAAAUAGAUUGCAGACAUCCUUUGGUCAAAUGUCCAUGUUUGACAGAGGGGACGGGAAGCCAUGCACCGCCAAAUAAACGGCUUCUACAGAGUUAUUAAAGAUGCUUAGUUUGGGAAGCAGAGAGUGGGAAGAUGGCUUCAUGUGGUUAUGAAGGAGAGAGAAAGGGGGAUAAAGAGGGUAAGUAAAUUAUAAUUACAAUAUUCCGACGGACUGGCCUUAGGGAUACCAUCUCUUUCCCUUUUGGAUGUCACCAUCUUAUUUUGCUUUGGGA
rnacentral:lncRNA from 1 species